UUUUUUUUUUUUUUGAGGCAGGGUCUGGCUAGGCAGCCCAGGCUGACCUUCAACUCACGGCAGUCCUCCUGCCUCAGCCUCCUGAGUGCUGGCAUUACAGGUGUGCGGCAGCACGCCCAGCGUGAGCACAUAUCCUUCUGAUGAAGCCCCGAGGGUGAGUGACCCGGGUGUUAGGAAACCGUGGCUGUGUGCAGGCGAUUGCAGCCUGGUCUCUAACGGUGGUGGCCCGCUCUCUGCCUGGCUCGCUCAUGGCACUCUGCUUGGGCUCAAACCCACCCCGCUACUGUUUAUUAAGCGCCUCCUGUAUGCAAAGUGAUGUUGGUGCCUCCCUCCCUCUGGGCACACUCCCUCCAGGGAGAGGACAGCGGGCCAGCGGCGGGCAGGGCUGGGGAUGCUGCCCAGGCAGGGGAGGAAGUGGGGGCUGGGCUGGCCGGCUGACGCAGCAGUGAUGUCAGAGCCAGGCCGCAGGCGCGUCCAGCCCAGGGCUGCUGGUGCCCUCUCGGGCGGACGGGCGGCAGGGCUGGCCAGAUGCCUCCCGCUCCUCCCCUCCACCCCCCUUAACCCCUUCCCAGCCUCCCUUUCCCAGACAGCCAUCCCCCGGGCCUGGCCUUGCCCGCAAGAUUCCCAGAUUUCACAACUGGGGCUGGCGCUGAGUCAUGUACAGUAAGUCCGGAGAGAGAAACUCCCGGCUGCCCGGCGUCCCCGCACAGGACGGCCGCCAAGCCAGCCUCCCUCCACGGGCCUGGUGGCAGCCAGGGGUCGUCCCUCUGGGCUGCUGACCGGCUUGGGGGUGCGGGGCAGGCCGCACCCCUUCUCUGGGGGGAGGGCAUGGUUUCUAGAAGCCCCGAGGCUCUGGCGCUCUGGGUUGCAGGUCACAGAUGAGGUAGCCCCGCAUGUCAGAGCUGCCACCAAAUGGCCGGUGACUUGGGCGCGAGCUUGACUGUAACCCUAAGCUGCGGUGUCCGUAUCUGGGAAGUGCUGGGACCGAGCUCCUCGGUCCAAUCGGCCAGGAACGGUGUGAGGAGCUCAGCACAGGAAGGACCUGUGCACGAGGGCCUCGCGACAUCACGAGUAAGACCCUGGGGACAUCGGUCAGUCCUCGAGAGCCGUCCCUCCUGGGACGCCUGCCCACGUGAUGAGAAUUCCUCCUGCCUUUUGAAAACAUCUUCAUUACAUCAGCAAACACUGACCGUGCACCAUGUUCUGGGCUUCUAGGUCCCAGAGACACAGCAGUGAACAAAACAAAACAUUUUGCACGGAGCCUGCAUUCUCCUUGAGGGAUUUGGGAACUUGAGAUCAUUUUCAUGAGUGAUCAGGGCACUGAAGGACACAGAGUGUGGGGCUGGGGUGGCGGAGGAAGCCGGGGCCCUCCUGGAUGCCUGGAUAAACAGCAGAGGCCACGGGACACCUGUCAGGAUGGGGCUCCAAGCAGAGUAGCUGCCCCACAAAGUGCCCUUGAGGGGCAGGGUGGGGAGCCCCGGGGGCCGGAUGUGGCCUGCUGCUGCCUACGGAGUCUAUGGGGCUGCUGCCUGGCAAGGCCGCCUCUCCACACUGCAAGCCCAAGCCUGGAAGCUGCUGCUCGGGAGGAAAGCCUUUCCCCAGUCCUCUGAGGCCAGGCGGCAGCAGGGACUCGGGACUCUAACGCCUUCCCUGAGGUGGCGGCCCAGGGGCUUUGGGUCCCAUUGGAUGGGGAAGCUCAAGGCGUCUGGGUGGGGGCCCUCUCUGCCUCUUGCAUGCACAGGUUCUCUCUGAGCACCUCUGGCCUCAGUGUGCUAAACUGUCCGAUGGGCCCGGGCCACCUGCUGGAGGGACUGGAAGGAGAGGGGACUCUGGCCCCCAGAUCCGCCUUCAGUCCUGAAGAGGCCAUGGGGGAGCAGGCUGUGUGUCCCCGCCUGGACCGGGAGGGCGGGGUUGCUUGUGUGUAUGUGUGUGUGUGUGUGUGUGUGUGUGUGUGUGCAUACGUGUGCGUCCGUGUGCGUGCGUGCUUGUACAAGCACGAAGGGGAUGGUAGGAAUCAGGACUCAAGAGCCGCAGGGCCAUGGUGGCUCCUGAGGCCAGCUGGGACCUGGCGCUGCGUCCCCAGGCUUCAGCAAUGUCCUCAAAGACAAUCUGAAAGUCAUUUCUUUUCUGUAGAAAAAGCCUCUUUUGCUGUUUUCCUGCAGGCUGCGGAGGCAGACAGCUGACACCGUGGUCAGCUGUGUCGCUUGUGGCUUCACAGGGGCGCAGCCGGGUGAGAACUGCCACAUUCACGUGAGAAGGUCCGUGGCCCUGUCCUGCAGAUGGAGCCGCAGAGGCCCCGGGGCGGGAGCGCUGCCGAGGAGCAGCCGAGCCGGGAUUUGUAAUGCAAUUUCAAGACGAGUCUCCUUAAACUGCCCGGCUGGCCUCAGACUUUUCGAUCCUCCUGCCUCAGCCUCGAGUAGCUGGAAUUGCAGGAAGCCGUGUCUGGCCAGCACCUCCAACCGAAUCUGACCUCGGGACAGAUCCUGGGGCCCUGCUUCCUCUCUUCUGUCCCCCAGAGGCACAGGGGAAUGAGUUCCAAGCCAUGGAAUCCCUGGCCUUCUCUGGGCCUCAGUUUCCUCCUUGGUAAUGUGGGGCUGAUCUGCCCCUCCUGGCAUGAAGUGCAGGACCCACCUACGGUCAGGCUCCUCUCCCUGCUUGGCCAUACUGGCUCCCUCACUGUACCUUGAACUCACCAAGACCCUUCCUACCUCAGGGCCUUUGUAUGUGCAGUGCCAUCUGCCUGGAAUGUCCUGCCUUCCAGUCUCCCUGGGGCUGGUGCUCAUCUGUCUGGACUCAGCUGUCACCUCCUCAGCCUGGGACACCCCCUUCCUCUUCCUGCUGAAGGGACGAGGUAUCUCACUCUUCUUUGUGUCAGUCCCAGCUCCACAGGCAGAGACUUUAUCUGUCUGAUUGACAAGGGUUUUCCCAGAGUUCAGCAUGGUGCUUGGUGUACAGUAGGUGCUUAAGAAACGAUUUCCUCCAUUUCCUUCCUUGUGAGCCCCGAGUCUGCUGAAAGCCACUUUUCAUCUGUCUGGUCCCUCAUCCCCCUUUGGGGACAAUCAGGAAGGCCUCAGGUAGUGGGGAAUCCACCUGUGACAGGCUCUUGGGGUCCCUAGGCAGCCGGAGGGGGGGUGUCCAGAGGCUUCGGGUGCAGACACCCUCGUCCUGCUGCUGUGCCCUCCUCCCCCUGGGAUCUGUGGGCUCUGCUGGGCAGAUCUCCAGAGCCAUCCCCGCCCCCGCACAUCUGUCAGCACCCUGCGGGGAAAGAAUUUGGAAAGGGGAGGAAGAAGAAGUAAAGAAAGCCGCGGAGGGGUCGGCUCCCACACCUGUGUAAAUAAUUUGUCAUCUUAAAACACAUCAAGUACACUCACCUUUAGUGCCCGGUCCUUGGGCUUGUUUUCCUUGGCAAGGCCCCCACGGGAGUGGAAUUUCGGCCAAAGGGACCCAAUUGUCAUCUUGUAAGCAGGUUCCCAGGCCGGGGCCGGGAAAGGCUCUGGCUGACUCUCCACUUCCGUCCCCAGAAGUACCGGAACGUUCCUGGGAUUUAAGAGCAGCCUCCAGCUUUGGAAGCUGUCCCAGAAUUCUGGAAUGCUGGAAUUUAAACAGCCUGCAGCCCAUUUUGCAGAGGAGGAGCGUGAGUCCGGGGCGGGGGCGCCUCGUCCUGCGGUCACUGACCUGCCAGGUGAGCUGGCUUGCCAGUGGAAGGGGACACUGUCGCCCCUCCCCCCACUUCCUGCUGGAGAACAUCCUCCCCUGGGAUCCAGGAGGUUGGGGAGUGGCCCAGGCCUCCUGCCUCCAAGGUGCGCAGGUUCUGCUACAGUGAUUGGUCCAGAGACGGUCACGUGAGUAAACUCACCCAAUGAGAUUCUCUCCUGGGGCUUUGGUGCUGGGAAGGAGAUACAAUUGUCCAUCAGAUUGACAGCAAGCAAGGGAAAAGCUGCCUGAGAGACCAGCUCAGAGCUGGGCGGGUCUGAACUCCCGGAUCAAGUCGUACCUGAGAGCACACACUCUUAGCCUCUCUAGUUUCAUAAGCCGCUAGUUUCCUGUUUUUGGCGGGAAGAGUUUGGCCUGGUUUUCUAUCCCCUGAGCACAGAAGUUUCUGACUGGCCCGUGGGGGAGGGGAAGGGGAGGGAUAGCAGGCGGAGGAAAUCGCCUGACAGAGCAUGCAGAGCGACUGUUUCCAGGGAGGCGCGCCCAGGAAGCAGGGAGAAGAGGCAGAGGCCCCCGAGGUGAGCGCAGGAGUUUGUCAGGUUGGGGGGGCGGACAUGGAACCACCCUUGUGCAGGCUUGGAAGGGUGACCUGGCCAUCAAAGGCCGACGGUGUCCCAGACUUGUACAGGGUGACAGAGGACACUGGUGCAAAGGGCAUGGACAGCCCCAGCUCAGUCAGGCUCUGGUGCUUUUGGGGCCGAGCCUGUCCUGCACCCUGACCUGCUAUCCUGGACCCCCAGAUGUGCUCUGUCUUCAGUCUGGACACUAUAGGUACCAGAGAGAGUUACUUUGGGGUCUCCCUUACAGCACCAGAUCAGAAGGGAUCACGUAGCAGGAGUCAUUCCUGUGGCAAAAAUGACAGGCCAUCUGGAUGCCUGGUGAGCCCCGCUUGACGAAAAGGGCACCCCGGGCUCAGGCUCUUGGAGGCAUCUGGCUGCUUCACAGCCCCCUUCCUGCACAAGUGCGGAUGAGCUCGGAGCUGGAACUGACAGGCAAGAGGACUGCCUGGCCCUGGCCCCGCCCCUCAGAGCCCCGCCCCUCGGGGCCCCGCCCAUGCCCCGCCUUCUCAGGGCCCCGCCCCGCGGCCCCGCCCCCAGGCCCCAGGGCCCGCCCUCUUAGGGCCCCGCCUCCAGCAGCCCAGGGUGCUCAGGUCCGCCCUUCUCUCUGCUGCUCCAGAUUGACACCGUGGGGAUCCCAGUGGGUUGAGCCUGUCUCCCCUCCCCCAGACGCCUUUGAGAUGCGCGUGCUGCUAGAUGGUUCUUUUUUAUUACCACCUAGUACUCCAUCGUAAGGAUGGGCCACGAUGUGUCUAUCCAGUUGCGCGCAGGCUGAGGGAUAUUUUUGCUGUUUCGGUUUUUCUGCAGUUGUGAAUGAAGCCGUUAGGAACAUUUGCAAACUGUUUCAUGGCAGAACUUUUGUCCCUAGCAGCACCUUUCAGUCCCUUAAGCAGUGUGUAUCAGUUUUCUCUGACACUGGCGUUGUGAGAAUUUUGCUGUUUUUUUAAAAAUUUCAUCCAAAUAGAUGUGUAAGCCUGGUGUGGUGAUUCACACUUGUAAUCCCAGCACUGGUGAGGCUGAGGCAGGAGAACUGGCCGUUCGAGGCCGGCCUGGGUAACUCAGUGAGACAUUAGCUCAAAAAACAAAUCAUAUAGGUGGGUGUGGCUUUAAUUUGCAUUUUCCUAUUGAUCAGUGCCAUUGAUAAUCUUUUUAUGUGAUGAUGAUGGUAUUAUUUUAGUGUAGAGGUUGUUAAAUGUUUUUGCCUAUUCAAGUUGAUGUGGUGGCAUGUGUCUGUGAUCCCAGCGCACUGGGAGGCUGAGGCAGGAGGGUUCCAAGUUCAAGUCCAGCUUGGGAAGUUAGUGACUUAAGGAAACAAUGUUUCAAAAUAAAACAUAAAAAAGGGCCGGGAAUGUAAUUCACUGUGAAGGCCCUGGGUUCAAUCUUUCAAACCACAAGGCAAACAAAAAAUAAAAAAAUGGAUCAUUA